UCGCGGGGUGGAGCAGUGGUCAGUUCACCAGGCCCAUAACCUGGAGGUCGUGGGUUCGAAUCCCACCCCCGCUAUC
rnacentral:tRNA from 1 species